UACGGGGGGGGCAAGCGUUGUUCGGAAUUACUGGGCGUAAAGGGCUCGUAGGCGGCCAACUAAGUCGGAUGUGAAAUCCCCAAGCUUAACUUGGGAACUGCAUCCGAUACUGGAUGGCUUGAAUCCGGGAGAGGGAUGCAGAAUUCCAGGUGUAGCGGUGAAAUGCGUAGAUAUCUGGAGGAAUACCGGUGGCGAAGGCGGCAUCCUGGACCGGCAUUGAUGCUGAGGAGCGAAAGCUAGGGGAGCAAACGGG
rnacentral:rRNA from 1 species